rnacentral:tRNA from 1 species
UGCCAAGGGAUGGGAAUCAAACCCACGACCUUCCGCUUACCGGGCAGAUGCCAUGACCACUAGGCUACCCUGGA